GUGACCGUAAACGAUGCCAACCAGCGAUUCGGCGAUGUUCUUUUUGUGACUCGCUGAGCAGCUUCCGGGAAACCAAAGUGUUUCGGUUCCGGGGGAAGUAUGGUUGCAAAGCUGAAACUUAAAGGAAUUGACGGAAGGGCACCACCAGGAGUGGAGCAUGCGGCUUAAUUUGACUCAACACGGGAAAACUCACCCGUCCCGAACACUGCGAGGAUUGACAGAUCAAGAGCUCUUUCUUGAUUCAGUGGGUAGUGGUGCAUGGCCGUUCUUAGUUGGUGGAGCGAUUUGUCUGGCUAAUUCCGAUAACGAACGAGACUCUGGCCUACUAACUAGCGGCGGUAUUCACGUCUCCCGCGCGACGCCGCGCUGCGCUGCGGCUGAGCACAGUCGUCGCCGUUUGCGCGAGCGCUCCGCGGAGCACCUGCAGUGCCGGCAGCCGCUUCUUAGAGGGACCAGCGACACUUUCGCAAGCCGCACGAGAAAGAGCAAUAACAGGUCUGUGAUGCCCUUAGAUGUACGGGGCUGCACGCGUGCUACACUGACGGCGACAGCGUGCGUUCAAGCCCGGCCUGGCAAGGCCAGGAAAUCGGUUGAAACGUUCUCGUGACUGGGACAGGUAAUUGCAAUUAUUUCCCUCGAACGAGGAAUUCCCAGUAAGCGCGAGUCAUCAUCUUGCGUUG
rnacentral:rRNA from 1 species